GGCCAUGACAGAAGGCAAACGAAAGUUGUCUUGGGAGUGUGGUUUGAUGUGGGUGUGUCUUUGCCAUUCAAUCACAACAAAGUGCAGUAGCGAGUACAGCGACGGAAGCUAAGCUAGCUUUGCUAGGGAGAGAACAAAGUUUUGAAGUUGAGAACUUGACUGACUCUCCAUCUCAAGAUGGUUAGCUAAUUCAUUUCUAUGUGUAGGCUAAAACCUGCCCUGAUCUUGUGUUUAGCCAAGCUGACAGCAGCUAGCUAGCCUAGCUUGGUGACAGCUGAAGCUGGCUAUCCAAUGUGGCUGAUAUUUCUGUCAAAUCAGCUAUGGCAAGAUAGCAAGAGCCAAUGGCUGGAAUGUGUUUCAUAAAACAUCCGUUAUACAACGCCUUCCUACGAAAGUAGUUUGCAGCGUAGUUUCAACGUUUCAUCGCGUGAUGUAAAUACAUGUUACCGUGGAAACAAUAUCAACUACUGCAAGUUGGAUGCCCCCGGUCUUCGGUCAGCUCAGCUGUCCUACACAGGCAGGUCACCCAGGAUACAAUUCAGUAUUCGACCUCAGAUAUCCAUGUCUGAGGACAUUAGGAGAUGACGUGGAAACCGGCCACUAGGAGCAACAUGGAGUGCUGUCACCUUCAAGUUAUGGACAUGUGCUGUCAGGAGGGGUGAAGUGCAUGACACUCCAUCCUGGACAUGACAGAGUUUGCCUCAUGGGUCCAGCAGGCAGAGUUCAAUAACUACAGGCAGAUGCGAGAUGCAGGAGGAUGGCACUCUUCUCGUUCUGAGUAACCUACAGAGUAGUAUAAGAAGAAUGUGCUGAACUUAGCUGAUACAGAUAUGUACCUAUCAACAUUGUGUCUAGAGGUGCUGGGGAUACCUUUGUCACGCUCAUCUGAAUGAAUGGACCAAGGUGCAGUGUACUUAGAGUUCCACAUGUUUAAUAAAUAUGAAACUCACCAAAAACAAUACAGAAGAAAACAAAAUGGGACGUUCUGGGCUGCUUACAGGCAGCUACACAAAAACAAGAUCCCACAAACAACAGGUGGGAAAAGGCUGCCUAAAUAUGAUCCCUAAUCAGAGACAACGAUAGACAGCUGCCUCUGAUUAGGAACCAUACCAGGCCAACAAAGAAAUAGAAAACAUAUAUUGCCCAACCUAGUCACACCCUGACCUAACCAAAUAGAGAAUUAAAAUGAUCUCUAAGGUCAGGGCGUGACAACCUUGCCAAACAUGUCAGUCGUCAUACCUUCCUGUAUGGUGUCUCAUAUCCCCCCUCAUUGAUAUUCAAUAAUAACAAAAUACAAUAAAAAGUAAUAGAUGUCAUGUAUAAUUUUUUUGCAAAUUUUUUUUCCAGUCUCCCUGAAUUUGGUCCCUUGGCUCAUCUCGGCAACUCCUCAAUGAGCUCAGGAGAGAUGAAGGUCGAGUCAUGUGUCCUCUGAAACAUGACCCGCCUGGCCACCUACUUCUUAUCACCCCUAUCUCAGCUGCACCAAUGUGUCAGAGGAAACACUGUUCGACCUGAGUCAGCUUGCAGUAGCCCAGCCCUGUCACAAGGAGUCACUAGAGCAGAAUGGAAAGCCCCAACGGCCAAACCCUCCCUUACCGUGUGCGGUGCUGGGCCAAUUGUGCGUCGUCCAGCUGCUCUCUCGUCAUCUGACUACGUUUUCUCUCAUAGUCCGAGAGCAUCUGAUCAUCGCGGUGGUGGCACAGGGAUACUCAUUUGUCCUAAGUAGAUCUCCUCAUUUUAAUUCCAUACUGACACUCAUUUGUCCACUCAAGCUUAAAAUUGUUGUCAUAUCACCCAACAGGUGCCCUUAGAGUUUAUUGAGCUUGACACCUUGAUAAGCAAAUUUCCUGAUGGCUCACAGCUAUUUGUACUUGGCGACUUCAACCUCCCGACUUCUGCCUUCGAUUGAUUUCUUUCCAACUCUCUCUUUCCCCUCCUUGCCUCUUUUGACCUCACCCUUUCCCAGUCCCCUCCCACUCACAAGGCAGGCAAUACGCUUGACCUCAUCUUUACUAGAGGCUGUCCGCCAACUAAUCUCACUGCAACCCCCCCAGGUCUCUGAUCACUACUUUGUUCCCUUUUCUGUCUCCCUUUCCUCCAACCCUAACCACUCAGCCCCUACCUAGAUGGUCAUGCGCCAUCAUAGUCUUCACUUUCUCUCUUUCCCACUACUCUCUCUUCAAUUUCAAUGCUGUCAUCUUUCCCUUCUGCUAAAUCCUUCCCCCCUCCUGUCGCCUGAUUGUGCCUCUUCAAUCCUACUCUCCUCCCUUUCUGCAUCCUAUGACUUGCACUGUCGCCUUUCUUCCCAGCCGACUCGGCCCUCCCCUCCUGCUCCAUGGCUGAGUGACUCAUUGCGAGCUUACAGAACAGGGCUGCGGGCAGCUGAGCGAAAAUGUCUGAAAACGAAACUUCCGGAGGACCUAUCAUCCUUCCACUCCCUCCUCUCUAUCUGAUUUUCCUGUGUAUCAACUACAAAGCCACUUUCUAUCACUAUAACCCUAGGAAACUUUUUCCACCUUAUCCUCCCUCCUUAAUCCUCCACGGACAACUUUGUCAAUCAUUUUUAAAAGGUUGAUGACAUCCACUCCUCAUUCACUGACUAUUGAGUCCAAUAGUCCCACUCACACAUUACUACCCUCCGCCUUAACCUCUUUCUCCCCUCUCUCUCCAGAUGAAAUCCUGCAAUUAGUGAGGUACGGUCACCCGACAACCUGCCUUCUCGACCCUAUCCCUUCCUCCAUUCUCCAGACCAUCUGCACAUUCAGCUGCAAACUGGACAUUUUUCUAAUAAAUACAAAAGGCAAUCUUAUUGCCUGGGAGGGCAGGGUGAUAUAAUAGACAGCCAAGUGUAAAAUUGCUGGGCCUCCCGGGUGGCGCAGUGGUCUAGGGCACUGCAUCGCAGUGCUAACUGCGCCACCAGAGUCUCUGGGUUCGUGCCCAGGCUCUGUCGCAGCCGGCCGCGACCGGGAGGUCCGUGGGGCGACGCACAAUUGGCAUAGCGUCGUCCGGGGUAGGGAGGGUUUGGCCGGUAGGGAUAUCCUUGUCUCAUCGCGCUCCAGCGACUCCUGUGGCGGGCCGGGCGCAGUGCGCACCAACCAAGGGGGGCCAGGUACACGGUGUUUCCUCCGACGCAUUGGUGCGGCUGGCUUCCGGGUUGGAGGCGCGCUGUGUUAAGAAGCAGUACGGCUGGUUGGGUUGUGCUUCGGAGGACGCAUGGCUUUCGACCUUCGUCUCUCCCGUGCCCGUACGGGAGUUGUAGCGAUGAGACAAGGUAGUAAUUACUAGCGAUUGGAUACCACGAAAAUUGGGGGGAAAAUGGGAUAAAAAAAAAAAAAAAAAAAGUGUAAAAUUGCAAAUUGUUCUACAGAAAGGACAAAUCUUUUUGCUAAUGCACUUUACAAACAAAAUAACUCUACUAGUUGUACCUGCUUGGCUGAGCAAUUAGCUUACUAGUUUAUCAAGCCAGGUAUUUUUUUAAUACAACUUUUCACCAUCUGUGUUAUCAGGGCAGUAACUGGGGUUACUAUCAGAGGCCUCGUGAUGGCGUGUCCUUUUCAUAAGAGUCGGGGGAGACUGGCAACAAUGGAGGAGGUGUCACAAGGCUACUUGUGCUGCAUGGCACACUUUUAUUGAGGUCUUGCCUGACAAGCUGUGAAAAUAUCAAGUGAACAGUGAAUGAAAUUAUUUAAGUCACAUUGCUAUGAUACCCACUUCUGCUCCUUCUGGUAGGUCCCGGCAUCUGUUCAUGACCAGGGGAUCAGUCAGGCACCCAACUAUGCACUUUGUCUAACAGAAAAACACUAUCAACGAUUGUCAUCUUCCCUGAACUAUAAACAGCUUGAGAAAUAAUGUAAUCUUGUUUGGAAGCUAAUUCUGCGCUUUACAGAUGUAGACUGACUGCCUCACGAUUUGAUUCAAGCUGGUGAUGCCGUUACACUAUGUACUCAACUGUGACAUGUUUUGCUAUCGCCCUGGGUUGGUUUGGGUUUGUUGCUGCUGGUUCUUACACUGUUGUAGUCAGACAUAAGUUAGCUACUACCAACAUAACUGCAUCCAAUAGCUGCAUGCUUUAUUUGUGCCCUAGACAUGUGUUGCACCUCGGAGGCUAAUGUAAUUGUUUUGUCUAAAUUACACUAACUUAUAGUGGCAUGGAAGUACGGUGACAUUGCUAAAGUAGGUAAAUAAUUAGUAGGAAACAAUGUCAUCAAAUUUACCUUAAAGAGAUGGCAAUGUUGCCAUGAAAUACGGUGGUCCCCUCAAUCGUAGUUAGCUCGCUAAAGUUAUACUGUAUCGAAAGUCAAUCUGGCGACAUCACAAUCAUGAUAAAAGGUUUUACAACUAA